AAGUCGUAACAAGGUUUCCGUAGGUGAACCUGCGGAAGGAUCAUUAAUGAAUAGACUUGGUGGGUUGUAGCUGGCAUUUCAAAUGCAUGUGCACACUCGUCAUCUUUAUCUUUCCACCUGUGCACCUCUUGUAGAUCUGGAGACCAUCCAAUUGGCUCUGAGGAAACUCAGUUUUGGGGUUUGUAGGUGCUUCUGCAGCUUCUGCUCUCCCUGGGUAGCCAGGUCUAUGUUUUUUCUCUACAUACACCAUAGAAAAGCAACAGAAUGUCAUUGAAUGGGUCUUUGAACCUAUAAUAAAAGUUAUACAACUUUCAGCAACGGAUCUCUUGGCUCUC
rnacentral:misc_RNA from 1 species